CACUGGGAAAGUGGAGGCGCUUUCCUCCUCCUUACCGCAACCCACGUCGACCUAUCCGGCGAAAUCUGCAGGCCAGAUCCAGGGGCAACUCGGAAAGGGGAGGAAUCUUCGAGUGGGGAGCGCUUGAACAGCGCGAGGGAACUGGGUUCAUCGUAUCAGAGGAAAAUCCGCCGGAGAUCUUGCCAAAGUUGAGCUCUCUUUCUCCUUUAAAAGAAUAAAGAGAGAGAGAGAGAGAGAGAGAGAAUGGGUGUUAUCGGAAGGAAUCCAAUCCCCCCCCCUCCCCUCUGGAGUCGCUCCGUUCGUAGGCUGCGGAGAAUCGACGGGAGGAAUCCCAUUCGCGGAGAUGGGCUCAGAGACCCCGUCAUCUGGGGGGUUUCCACUCCGCAGUGUGAAGCCUACCUCCCCCUGGGUCUCGCCACCACCGCUUUCUUUGAGGAACACGAGUUACCCACCUCGCCGCAGGGGGAGAUGGCGAUAAGGAUCGCACCAGCCCCUCAUCGUAAAGAUGGGGAUAUUGUAUAUAUUACUGUAAUCUCUGAGCUCCUGUUCCCCCACACGUCAACAGGAUCAAAAAAAAGAGC
rnacentral:lncRNA from 1 species